ACUGCCAAAAGAAAAAUGCACGCUGUCGUUGUGAAAGAAAAUGAUUUCGUAAAUUCGCCUUGCAGCGGGGAUGCACAGGGAUAGCUUGUGAAGUGGAGGAAGGAUGAAGGAGAAGAGAAAAUGAGCUUGCGUUUUCCCAAUUUUCACGCACGACACGCCUUGGAGGAAGCUGCAAAAGCCACCAAGCAAGUGUUUUGCCGCGCUCUGACGACCAAUAACCACAAAGCUUCUUACUCAGAUGACGAUUUAGUCUACAGUAGCGACGAGAAGCUCCCGCCCAGCGCUGUUGAUCUGGAACUUUUUGCUCAGUUGCAGCAAGAUGGGUCUGCGCAUAAUCCUUACAUCCUCAACAAGAUUAUAUCAUCUUGUGCGCAAACAUCUUCUCUUUUUAUGGGUAUUCAGAUUCAUUCCGCCGUUAUCAAGACGGGGUUCAGCUCUAAUGUCUACAUAUGCAGCGCUUUAGUGGAUAUGUACGGCAAGUGCAGUGUGAUUUCAAGUGCUCAUAAAUUAUUCGACGAAAUGCCUCAAAGAAACGCAGUCACUUGGAAUGUAUUGAUUUCUGGCUACCUUCAUUCAGAGUGCCCCAAAACUGCUGUUGGGUUGUUGUUAGAAAUGCUCAAAGAAGGGAUAGCUCCGACGCCAUUUAGCGCGUCUGCUUUGUUGGGUAGCAGCGCUCAAUUAGAAGCAGAGGAGCUGGGGGCUCAGGUGCAUGGUCUCUGUUUGAAAGCUGGGUUUUACUCUAAUGUUGCUGUGGGAACAGGUUUAAUCGUUAUGUACUCAAAAUGUUCGAAAGUUGGAGAUUCAAGACGGGUUUUUGACGAAAUGGCUGAUAGGAAUGUUAUUACUUGGACUUCCAUGGUUACGGGCUAUGCACACAACGAGAAACCUGAUGAGGCGAUGAUUCUAUUCAGAGAAACGCAACGUUUGGGCCUCAGAUCAAAUUAUGUGACCUAUAAUAGUCUGCUGAGCUCAUUUUGCAGUGCAGAAGAUUUAGAUCAUUGCAAGCAAGUCCACUGCCGGAUAAUUUGGGAAGGUUUUGAGUCAAAUGUAUAUUUAGCAGCCACCCUCUUGACUGUAUAUUCAGAAUGUAGUGGCAAUUUGGAGGACUUUCACAAGAUUUGUUUGGGUAUUACCAGAUGGGAUCAAGUCUCAUGGAAUGCCAUCAUUGCUGGUUUUUCUAAUUUAGGAAAUGGUGAGGAAGCCCUAAAAUGCUUCUCUAAAAUGAGGCAGGCUGGCAUCCAUGUGGACUCCUUCACGUUUACAAGCAUAUUAAAAGCGAUAGGAAGUAUUCCAGCCCUUCAAGAGGGAAAGCACACCCAUGCUUCAGUAUUCAAAACAGGGUACGCUUCUAAUACAUACGUUCAAAAUGGACUUGUUGCAAUGUAUGCAAGAUGCGGUGCAAUUAGUGAUUCGAAGAGGGUUUUCUGGUCAAUGGAGAAACGUGAUUUGAUCUCAUGGAAUUCCCUUCUGUCGGGAUGUGCCUACCAUGGAAAUGGAAGGGAGGCUGUUGAAGUGUUUGAACAAAUGAGAAAUUCUGGGGUAAAACCGGAUAACACCAGCUUCCUUGCCGUGAUUUCUGCAUGUAGCCAUGUUGGGUUGCUCGAUAAAGGACUUGAGUACUUCAAUUUGAUGAGAAAUUAUGCGCUGUUCGAACCCCCCAAAGUAGAGCACUAUGCUUGUAUUGUUGAUCUUUAUGGUCGAGCGGGGUGUCUCCACGAAGCAGAAGCCUUUAUCAAUAAUAUGCCAAUAGAGCCUGGACCAUCAGUUUACAAGACUCUGCUCAGUGCUUGUCGAGUUCAUGGAAAUAGAGAAAUUGCUGUACGUUCUGCAAAGAAGCUUUUGAAUCUGUACCCUGAUGAUCCUGCUUCAUACCUUCUACUAUCAAAUGUGUUGGCUGAGGGGGGUUCUUGGGAUGGAGUAGCAUGGGUGAGGAAGAUCAUGCAUGUUAGCAGAGUGAAGAAAAUUCCUGGUUUUAGUUGGAUUUGAGUUUAGAAAGAGGGAAUGACUACUUUUGUGCUCCGUGGAAGCAGUAAAGCAACCCUGAACUGGCAUCAUCCUAAUGAAACAGGCAGCUGAUACUUAGCUCGUUCCUCUGGAAAGGUAGACAGGUUGACAGAAAUUUAGGGACUGCCCUUAUGUUUGUGCUCCAGGGGAUGAGCUGAUUCAGGAAUGAGGUUUCGCUUCUUCAAGCAGAGAUGGGGCUCAAUUUCAUUUGGUUUCAUCAAUCGGCAUUUUGGGGCUGAAAAAAAUGUCAAUCAUGGAACUUAUAUUUCUGGUGCGCAGGAAAUGCGGUUCUAUCGUAUUAUGCAUUUGCGCGGGACAGGUUUGCCUGCAAGUCCGUCUUUGAAUUUAUGAUUGAGGAGUGAAAACUAAUGAAGACAGGUAAUUGCUUAGACAGGAAGAAACAAACCAACCCACUUGUCCUGAUUGAGGUGAUUGAAAAAAGAAAGAAAUGGCAGCCCUUUUUGUUCAGGGACAUCUCCAAAUCUAAUGUUUAAAUUCCAAAUCUUAGUCAAAUCCUUAAU